AGAUGCCUGCAGCCUUUUGAGGAAACACAUCAUUUUCACAAAAAGCUUUCUGUGAAGAAUCUUUCCUGCUCAGCUUGAGACUGAUGGACAAAAGCUGAUUGGGAAAGGAUCCCAGCAUGGCCAGUGGUCGGCACGUUCCCUGGUGCUGUGGAUUUUCACCAUGUGAUACAGGAAAGGUUGAGUUAGCUCCAAAUAAAGCAGAGCAAGGAUUUGACACAGUCUUCCCACAGCCACUGCAAAUAUCCCAACCUUGGGGUCAUCUUCUCUCCUCUGUCCCAAGAAAUGGGAUUUUCAUGAACUCAGGACCAACCCAACAAGAUCAAUUGUGCUCAACAGAUUGAUCCCACUCAAGGAGGUGUUUUAGAUCAUGAACUCUGGUCUCUACAUCCUAUAGAAAUAUCCCCAGGCUUUGGCAUGCUGGGAGCUGAACCUGUUUGCUCACUUGCUCUUCCUUCCUUCUUAUUUUCAUUUUGAUGAGACAAAAACUCUAAAACAUCCCCAUUUUCCCUAAAACAUGUUUUGCUUUCUAGCCAGCUUUAUUCAGCAUUUUAGAAAAGAGUCCUUGGUCUGAUACCAGACAUUUAACAUGUGCCCCACUUUGACGCUGCUACUGACACCAAAUCUAAAAAAUAAAAAACCAAAAUAAUACACAUAGAAUGAGAAGCAUUUUCUCUUACCUUACCAGGCUGUGAAUCAAACCCCAUGCUUCAAUAUUUUCCCAAAAAGUGUCAUUGAGUUUGUUUGCUUGUUUAAUAGAAAAUAAAAUGUGUGUUCUUUACAGUAAAACAUCAUUUAGAGAAGCAGGAGCCCACAUCGGAAAGGCCCCUGAGCUGCUGCUCUGCCUUUUGUACAUUGCUGUUUGUUGAUUUUUUUUGUUCCUAAUCCUGGAGAAAAACUGGCAGGAAUUGUGCGGGGUCCUUGCAGAGCUGGGAGCAGAUGAUCCCUUUGCUGCUGGAGAACAGAACUCCCUUCAGCUGCUCCUCACUGUGGGUGAGGAACUGCAAACCUCUGUGGGAUGCACCAGGCACUGAAGAGGAGCAGUGGGGGGAGAUUGGUGCUCUAGCAAGCAAGGACCUCAUCUUAACCACAUAAUAGGGGGAAAAUAAUUUCCAGACUAAAGAACUAAACUUUGCACAGCACUUACUGAACCUGAGUAAGAUUUAAAACCUGAGUGGAGUGGCAGGCAGAUCUGAGCCCACCUUCAGAGAGAGUGGCUGCAAAUGAGGGGGAAUCCCAAGAGCUAAUGGGCAGAUAAAUACUCAGUUCCUUCUGUUAGUAAAUUUACAACAUACUCAAGGAAGACAU